rnacentral:rRNA from 1 species
GUUUACGGCCAUACCACACUGAACACACCCAAUCUCCGCUGGUCUUGGAAGCUAAGCAGGGUUGAGCCUGGUUAGUACUUGGGUGGGAGAAAUGUAUACUCUGUUGUGUUAAGCU